UAUCCACAUUUAUUACUCAGAAUGAACUUCUUUAAGGUGAUAUUAAAUUUAGUUGACAUCAGGAUUUUGUGUUGUCAUAAGAAAACUUGUUCUGUUAUAUAAAAGGCAACUUCAGAAAGCUCCAAUUUGCAGAGCACUGGCCAGUAUGUCCAUCUGUAGAGAUUCCAAAUAAAGUUAAUCCUAGGAUCUAGGAAUAUUUAGGUAUACUUAGCUGUUUUAUACUGUUUUAUAUUAAAUGAGAAUUUAGGUAGGUUGUUACCUGAUUUCUCUCUAACUAGUUUUUUCCUAGUUUAGUAGAUAAAUAAUUUGGUAUGCACCAAAAUUACUGGGAGUCUUAAUUGACUGCCUGUAUGUAUUUAACAGUAUGUUUCCCUUCUUUCAGUGAAUAAAAAUAAUGAGAAUUCUCUCCCAGCAUUUCACAUGGUGGUAUCAGAGCCAUUACUCUGAAUAUCCAAAUUCCACUCAUGACAAAAUACGGCAUGGCAACUGAGAGACAACAUUCUAGUUCUACCGAGAUCACCUCCAAUCCAGAAGCUGCAGUUGCAAGCCAUAAUGGAAGAUCAGAAGGCUCUCUUCUCCCAAUCACUGGACACAAACUGAAUGGGUAUAAUUUCCUUCAAUGGUCCCAGUCAGUCAUGAUGUUCGUCUGCAGACGAGGUAAAGAUGACUACCUCACCGGCGCAGCUAUUCAACCAACAAAGGAAGAUCCCAAAUUCAAAAUCUGGAAGACAGAAAAUAACAUGGUGAUGUCAUGGUUGAUCAACUCCAUGACCAAUGAGAUAGGAGAAAAUUUCCUGUUGUACGGGACAGCAAAAGAAAUCUAGGACACAGCCAAAGAGACCUAUUCAAACAACGAGAACACAGCCGCAUUGUUUGAAAUAGAAACCCUCCUCCAUAACCUACAUCAAGGAGAUCUUAGUCACUCUAUUUCAAUACAAUCACUUGUUAUUGGCAACAACUAGACAUGUUCGAAGAAACUGAGUGGUCUUGCCCACAAGAUGAACUCAGGUACAGAAAAAUUGUUGAAAAGAAACGUAUUUUCAAAUUCCUUCUAGGUCUCAACAAAAACCUCGAUGAAUUCAGGGGACAAAACCCCUUCCAAACAUUCAGACUGCAUUCUCAGAAGUCCGUCAAGGGGAGAGUAGAAAAAAGGUGAUGAUGGGAACGGAUAAUACUAUACCAACACUUGAGACUAGUGCACUUGCCGCCCGUGGAACUCAAUUCACCAACAAUAAUAAGCAUCGGAAAAAGGAAAGGCCAUGGUGCAACCAUUUUCGACGAUCGGGUCACACAAGGUAGACUUGCUAGAAGCUUCAUGGGAAACUUCCUAAUUGGAAACCAUCCCAACCAUACAAUGAUAAAGAAGGACGUGGAAACCUGGCCUCAAUUAACGAGAACCCAACCGUAUCCCAGUCAAGCUUGUUCAGCAAAUAACAAUUGGAAAUCUUGCAAAAACUAAUCGGCCAAUCUUCUCAACAAAAUAUAGAAUCCUCAAUCAUCGGGACAGGUUCGUUGGCACAAAAAGGUCUUGGGUUCGGAGAGGGUGAUUGGCAGUGCUGAGGCGUGUUCAGGUCUCUAUCUUCUAGGAGAUGAUUCUUCACUUGAUAGACAAGUUCAAACAGCAAGUUGUGUGUCAUUUAAGAGUCAGUUAGCAAAUCUUUGUAAUUCUAAUAACGAUAGUGUAGUUAUGUUGUAACACUAUCGCCUAGGUCAUCCAAACUUUGUGUACCUAGAAAAAUUGUUUAUCUCUCUGUUCAUCAAUAAAAAUCUGAAGCACUUUCAUUGUGAAAUAUGUCAACUGGCCAAAGUUAUAAAUCAUCACAACCAUUUGCAUUGAUUCAUAGCGAUGUGUGGGGACCAUCAAGAGUUAAAAAUUUGACAAGUAUUAGGUGCUUUAUUUCCUUUGUUGAUGAUCACACCCAACUCACAUGGAUUUUCCUAAUGAAGGAAAAAUCUGAGGUCGGCCAAAUAUUCAAAAAUUUCAGCAACAUUAGGAAACUAUCUCUCGUGUCAAGAAAUAAUUCAUCAAAACUCGUGUAUCAACGCCCCCACAACAAAAUAGAAUUGCCAAGAGGAAAAAUAGACACCUCCUAGAAGUGGCAAGAUCACUCAUGUUCUCCACCCAUGUUCCAAAACAAUUUUGGGUUGAGGCUAUUCUUACUGUUGCGUAUCUUAUCAAUAGGAUACCAUCAAGAGUCCUUCAGUUCCAAACACCAUGUCAAGUCCUCUUUCAUUCAUUUCCAAAUACCAAAGUGAUUUCUUCAAUUCCCACAAAAAUAUUUGGUUGCUCAGUAUUUGUCUAUGUUCAUCCUCAUCACCGCAGCAAGUUAGACCCAAAAUCUGUCAAGUGUAUCUUCAUCAAAUACUCUCCAAAUAAAAAGGGGUACAAGUGUUAUUCACCAGUCACAGGAAAAGUUUACAACUCCAUGGAUAUAACAUUUUUUGAACACCAACCUUACUACCCUAAACCUGCAAUUCACGGGGAGAGUACACAAGAAUUUCAAUUUUGGGAGAUUGAUAACAUUGAAGAUCAAUCUUUACCACAACCAGUAGAGUCCAUUCUAUCUCAACCAAUUGAAUCAAUCCUAGCAAUUCCUCCAAUAUACCACACUACUGAAAACCAAUAUCAACCCAGCAAGAGUCCAUCAAUUCCAUUAUCUCCAUUUGUGAAGCACACAACCAAUGCAAAAUGAGCUUCGUGUCUGCUCAAGGAGAGGAAGAACUGACCGAGAGAUCGAGAAAUUAACACACCUGGAGCAACUCCAAGACCCUAAACCGGAUCCAAGGCCAAGUGAAAUUCACUCGGGUGAGAUUGUCUCUUCAAAUGAUGAUUCAAAUAAUAAUCUGCAUUGUCCUAUUGCACAGAGAAAAUAAGUGAGAUCGUGCACUAUGCAUCCAAUUUCUAUAUAAAAGAUUAUCUCCUGCAUUUCGAAAAUUUGUCUCCUCUUGAUACAGUACAAAUUCCAAGAAACAUACAAGAGGCACCCAAAGUUCCAAAAUGGAGAAAAGCUGCAUUGGAAGAAAUUCAAGCCCUAGAGAAAAAUGGAACAUGGGAAGUUUCAGAGCUCCCAACAAGAAAAAGGCUGGUUGGGUGCAAAUGGAUUUUCACUAUCAAACACAAGGCAAAUGGAAGCAUAAAAAGGUUCAAGGCCCGACUUUUUGCUAAGGGAUACACUCAAUCUUACGAAAUUGACUAUCAGGAAACAUUCGCUCAAGUUGUCAAGCUCAAUACAAUUCGAGUUCUUCUCUCAUUAGCCUCAAACUUGGACUGGCCACUUCACCAACUCGACAUCAAGAAUGCAUUUCUCAACGAGGACUUGGAGGAAGAAGAAUACAUGGAGGUUUCACCGGGGUUUGAAAAUCAAGUAAAUACAAAUAAGGUCUGUAGACUUUAAAAAAUCCCUUUAUGGACUUAAACAAUCACCUCGUGCAUGGUUUCAUAGAUUCACCAAAUUAGUGACCAAGUGUGGCUGUAGUCAGUGUCGAGUAGAUCAUACUCUUUUUAUCAAAUGUUUACUGGAAGGAAAGAAAGCAAUCUUGAUAGUGUAUGUAGAUGACAUUAUACUUACAGGUGACUUGGAGGAUGACCCAUCCAGAUUAAAGAGGUUCUUAGCAAAAGAAUUUGAAGUAAAAGAUCUGGGGUAUCUAAAAUACUUCAUAAGCAUGGAAGUGGCACGAAAACAGCAUGGUAUACUUUUGUCUUAAUGCAAAUACAUCCUAGAUCUACUGCAAGAGACUAGGAUGCUUUGAUGUAAACCUGAAGAUACUCCCACGGACUCAACAAAUAAGAUCGGAACUACCGAGAAUAGUGCACAUAUUGACAAGGAAAGAUACCAACGGCUUGUGGGAAAACUUAUUUAUCUUUCACACAAUUGCCAGAUAUUGGCUUUCUUGUAAGUGUAGUAAGUCAAUAUAUGAACAAUCCAACAGAAGAACACAUGGAAGCUGUUAACCAAAUUUUAAGGUACCUUAAGAUGACAUCAGGAAGAGGCCUACUUUACAAGAAGUCCUCGAGUAAAGAGGUUGAAAUCUACUCAGAUGCGGAUUGGGCAGGUGGUAUUUCAUAUCAAAGAUCCACAUCAGGUUACUGUACUUAUGUAUGGUGAAAUCUCGUAACAUGGAGAAGUAAGAAGCAAUCAGUUGUAUUGAGGAGCAAUGCGAAAGCAAAGUUCGAAGCAUUGACGCUCGGAAUUUGCGAAGGAAUGUGGUUAAGAAAAUUACUCGAAGAGUUAGACUUCCGUGUUACGAAGUCACUAAAAUUAUUUUGUGAUAAUCAAGCAGCCAUAAGUAUUGCGAAGAAUCCAGUUCACCAUGACA